GGCUCUGUGGCGCAAUGGAUAGCGCGUUGGACUUCUAGAUAGUGCCUAGGUGAGGUCAUUCAAAGGUUGUGGGUUCGAGUCCCACCAGAGUCG
rfam:Scleropages formosus scaffold7271, whole genome shotgun sequence.